ensembl:lncRNA
AUCUCUACUUGGAGCCUGCUUCUUUCUGGGAGUUUCUAGUGAGCCUGUAUCUUCUGAGCAGGAAGCUACGUGGCAAUCCAAAAAGGAAGUUGGGAAACAUUUAUUGCUUAAUAAAUGAUUGAAAUAGAAUGUUGCAUAUAGUAUUGCAUUUUACCUGUGACUAUGCCAGACUGAAGACACCUCCAGCUUAUUAUAGAAACUAAGCCCAAAUUGGUGGGUAAUUGGAUAGAGGGACCACCUGGAAGUCUUGGAUGCUGUAAGCACAUGCCAAGAAACUAGCUGUGCAUUUGGCAAAUAUUUGACUUUGGAAACCCGAAGAAAGGAAAGAUUUCAUUUGGCUCAUUGUUUUUCCUGAGCUAACAGACCAGAAUACAAUGAAGUUAUUGCUUUUUGUUCUUCAAUUUGGACAAUGAAGGAACAAGAAAAUGUCUAGAAGAGAAAGAUCUACAGAUGAAUCUUCAGUUAAUCCUGGAGACAGAAACAUCUUCAGAUAACACUGCUGAGAUCCAGUACAUAUUUUAAAAUUAGUUUUAGAAAAAAAAUGGCAAUUACUGAAGUAAUUCUUAUACAGUACUAUCAAUGAUUUUUUUUUUAAAUCUGAAGUUCUUAACUCCCAGAAGGGUCACAAAAGCAAAUGCCAAGUCCUGCACCAGGGAGAAAAUGAUUUGAUGCUGAGUACCAAUUGGGUAGAACUCAUGAGUGAGUUCUAGGUCACAAAACCCAGUAAGUCUGAAGGAACCCAUAGUCUUCAUGGCCUAGUAAGUAUAGCCCUGAAAUCAUUCAAGAUCAGCUUUGCCAGCUAUGGCACUUGUGGAUCUGCAGGUUUAGCCUUAAGACUGAGAAAUAUGACUGAGAAGUUGAAUGGAAUAGGUGGGAAGGAUGGUCACAACUGCUACAAGUCUAGAUAAUGCUUGACUGUUUGGCACAAAGAUGAACUCUGAAUCUGAUCAGAUAUGUGGCUUUGUCACAGGCUAAAUUCUCCAAGGACACUUAUGGAGUGAUCAAGUUUUCCAGGUUCCUCUGAUAGGCAUUGUCAUCCACUUUUGAAGACCAGGCACACAUACAUAGCUUGAAUCCCUGACUGAUGGUAGCCUGAAGUCAGAUGGCUUCACUAGUUAAGUGUGUAGAUGUUUAAAAUAAGUAUAGCAUACAACACCUACAGAUCAGGCUUGCAGGCUAGCAAAAGAAAUCUGGCUGUACUUCAACUGAUCUAGAUGAUGCAAACUCAUUGUGAAUAUCUCCAACUUAUCAUCAGGUAUUCUUGGAGCAUAGAUUAGCAUCUUUGUGUUGUACAACACAGCCUUUCUUCCACUUGUGCACUUCCUUCUGAAUCACAGUUUUCUGUGAGUAUGGGCUCCAACUUGACAGAUCUCACAGCUGAACAGUAAAAUAGCCUUUCUCUAGCUUAAAACUGUGAGAAAACUAGCUUAAAACCUUCCCUUCUUCUCUAGACCCUUGGUUUGCAUUCCAUCGUGUUCUCUGUGUUUGAAGUUCAACCAUGCGAGCUUUUACUUCAGUGUUCUGCAGAUAGGAAUUCUUUGCUCUCAAGUACCAGCUAAAUUCAGGGUUAUUGAAGGAAGCGGUUUAUCCUCUAUCAACCACCCAUGAAACAAUCAGUGCCAACGCACCUCAGUGUGACACGGGCAGGGGAAACAAGGACUACCACAACAAUGCCUCCUACGUUCAUGUCCAUGAGCUCCGUAAGGAAAUGUCCUCUCGUCAUACUGAAUUCAAAAGUUGCCUCACCUAGCAUCAGAUGACCUCAAAUCAGGAGAGAUUUUGAGAGCACUUCCUUGAGAUAUAUCAAAUCUUAUUGAGGUGCU